rnacentral:rRNA from 1 species
CCCUUAGAUGUCCUGGGCAGCACGCGUGCUACAAUGAUGCAUUCAACGAGUCUUGCCUUAACCGAAAGGUUCGGGUAAACUUUUGAAAUUGCAUCUUGUCGGGGCUUGAUCAUUGUAAUUUUUGACCACAAACAAGGAAUUCCUUGUAAAUGUGAGUCAUCAACUUGCAUUGAAUACGUCCCUGCCCUUUGUACACACCGCCCGUCGCUUCUACCGAUGAAUGAUCCGGUGAACACUCUGGACUUGUUGUCUGUCGGAGCAAUCCAAAGACGAUAGGGAAGUUGUGUAAACCUUAUCAUUUAGAGGAAGAAGAAGUCGUAACA